rnacentral:lncRNA from 1 species
CUCCCCCUCCCUCCCCCUCCCUCUCCCCAAAUCGUCCUCCCCUCCCUCCCUCCCUCCCCAUCUCCCUGUCUCCGCCUUCCACCAUGGGAUGAUGAACAAGAAGAGCCUCCCCACACAUGACUGGAUCUUGGACUUCUCAGCCUCCAGAAAUGAUUGCAGGUUAGGACUUCAGAGCAAGUGUCAGCUGGAUGGUCUUUCAGUUCCACGCAGUAUUAACUGAAGUCACACAGAAAUGUAUCUGGCGAAGGCCAGCCCAGAGUCAAAGGAAUUAUACUCUGCCUCUCAGUGGGGGAAACAGCAAAGAAUUUCCAGACUUCAUGGAUCUACCACAGUUUUUCUAUAUAAGAAAAGACAAUGCCAAUACACCCUUGUUUAUAGCAGUACAAUUUGUAAUAGCUAAAUCUUGGAAACAACCCAAAUGCCCAUCAAUGGAUGGACAAAGAAGAUUUUUUAUAUAUAUACAAUGAAGUACUACUCUAUCAUAAAGCAAGAUAAACUUGAGACAUUUCUAGGUAAAUGGAUGCACCUUGAGACCAUACUCUUAAAUGAAAUGAAUCAAACACUCAUGUUUAAGUAUCGCAUUGUUUCUCUGGUGUGAGAAACCAAAAGGGUAAAUAAAGACCAAAAUGUAUAACAGAUAUUGG